rnacentral:rRNA from 1 species
UACGUAGGGUGCAAGCGUUUGUCCGGAAUUAUUGGGCGUAAAGAGCUCGUAGGCGGUUUGUUGCGUCGGCUGUGAAAUCCCGAGGCUCAACCUCGGGUCUGCAGUCGAUACGAGCAAACUAGAGUGUUGCAGGGGAGACUGGAAUUCCUGGUGUAGCGGUGGAAAUGCGCAGAUAUCAGGAGGAACACCGAUGGCGAAGGCAGCCCC